UGUUCACCAUCCAUCUACUUAUUCAACCACAUCCACCCAUCCACUCAUUCAUAUCCACCCACUCACAUCCACCCAUCCACAGUUGUAACCCCAUCCGUCUAUCCACCGACUCCCACCCACCCAUCCACCCACCCCACACACCCACCCACCUACCUCCAUUAGCCCAUCCACCUAUUCAUCCACAGCACACUAUCCAUUGGCCCCCCCACCCUUCCAUCCACCCAUCUCGUACCUACUGAUCCACUCAUCCAUCAUCCCACCCAUACCAACCAUACCAUCCAUCCUACCAUCCACAACCACAACCACUCACUAAUCCACCCAGCCAUCUAACCAUUGUCCACUGAGCCUCCACCAACCUACUCACUCAUUCAUCCACCCAACCACUUCCCCAUCCAUCCAUUAAUUUACUCACUUACAACAAACCCACCAUCCACACGUCAUCCACACACCCAUCACCCACAACCUCUAUUCACCCAGCCACUCAGCGAUCCACCGACUCGCCCAUCGAUCCACCCAUCCAAAUAUGCAUCCACACACCAGUUCACCCACUCAACCAUCCAACUACCCAUUCACUCAUCCACCUAUCCAUUCACUCAUCUAUCCAUCCACGCAUCCACCUAAUCACCCACACAACAAUUCACCCAACCACCCUUUGAUUCAUCCACCCGCCCAUCCACCUACCAUCCCCCGAGUGGGAGCCUCUAAGAGUCGACCCAGUCUUAACACCCGCGCGGAUUUAUGACAGACGCGCACAGUUUAUGAUCAAAAUGCGCCAUUUUUCCCCCCUGUGACACGUUUCAUAGCAAGACCCGCUAGGAUUGAAUACGGGCAGGAGUGGAUGGAUUGUUGGGUAUACUAGGAAAUAAAAUAAAAAUAGAGGUUUUCACCGUGUGUGUGCGUGUGUGUGUGUGUGUGUGUGUGUCAUGCGCAUGCUCCCCAGUCCGUGACGUGUGAUGACGUCUGUGUUUCUGGCCAAUGACAGACAGCACCUCACCCUGUAGACAGGCGGGAACCAUCAUCAAGGUGGAAGUCAGUUUGAACCAGCCUGUCAUAGUGGCAGGGUGGAGCAAGACGUGAAUAGUUUUACUGGAAUUCACAGCGAGACCAUUUAUCGGUUUGUGUUUGUACGGGGGUUUUUCCACAAUCUGCGCAAUGACUGGAGUGUGACCGGCCUUGUGAGUGCUGCCCCCGGGUGCUGCAAGGACGCCCACACCCCGACACUGCAGCAGUGGCUGUGCAGCGUGACCGUCCUGCGCUAUAAGGGUGUCGUCGCCAACAGCAGGCCAGGAGCUGCCCAGGUAGUAGGGAAGGAUCAUGGAUGUACUCGUAAACAGCCUCUCUACAGCAGCCCAUCCACAGGCCUGCCACACCUCCAGGCCACUCAAGCGUGGUUCAUAACUACGUGCGUAGACAAGUUCUUUAGUGGUGGUAAUGACAGGACAAGUAACGGGUUCAGGGUAAUUAGAUCUGAAAAUAAGAUGGAAAGAAACUGAUCCUCAAAUAGUAUAUUAGGUAACCGGAGUAGACUCACCGUUGGAGUUGUCAGUGUCGAGUCAAUAAGGUGCCUUAAGAUUACAUACAUUUAUUUAUGGAUGGGAACGAUAAGUGUAUGUAGAUAUGUCUGUGUUACACAGGGACUGCCACGUGUAGGCCUACUGGCGUCUUGAGUUUCCCCUUGUGUUAUCAUGUCUCUGAGUUACAUGUCACUGUGAGGAGACGUACAUGUCACUGUGAGAAGGAACCCUGCUGCUCUGCGUGCCCACAACUGACUGCUUUCUACACGAUAAAAAUUCCAAA